rnacentral:rRNA from 1 species
AGAGUUUGAUCCUGGCUCAGGAUGAAUGCUGGCGGCGUGCCUAACACAUGCAAGUCGAACGGAGCCUAAUCAGCAGAAGCGGACAGCUUGCUGGAAGCAGAAGCAGAAAAGGCUUAGUGGCGGACGGGUGAGUAACGCGUGGGUAACCUGGCCCAUACAGGGGGAUAACACUUAGAAAUAGGUGCUAAUACCGCAUAACAACAGAAAGCGCAUGCUUUGUGUUUGAAAACUGAGGUGGUAUGGGAUGGACCCGCGUCUGAUUAGCUGGUUGGCGGGGUAAUGGCCCACCAAGGCGACGAUCAAUAGCCGGCCUGAGAGGGUGGACGGCCACAUUGGGACUGAGACACGGCCCAAACUCCUACAGGAGGCAGCAGUGGGGAAUAUUGCACAAGGGGGGAAACCCUGAUGCAGCGACGCCGCGUGAGUGAAGAAGUAAUUCGUUAUGUAAAGCUCUAUCAGCAGGGAAGAAAAUGACGGUACCUGAUUAAGAAGCCCCGGCUAACUACGUGCCAGCAGCCGCGGUAAUACGUAGGGGGCAAGCGUUAU